UACGUAGGGGGCUAGCGUUGUCCGGAUUUAUUGGGCGUAAAGAGCGUGUAGGCGGCCAGGCAGGUCUGCUGUGAAAACUCGAGGCUCAACCUCGAGAUGUCGGCGGAAACCAUCUGGCUAGAGUCCGGAAGAGGAGAAUGGAAUUCCCGGUGUAGCGGUGAAAUGCGCAGAUAUCGGGAGGAACACCUGUGGCGAAAGCGGCUCACUGGACCAUAACUGACGCUGAGGCACGAAAGCUAGGGGAGCAAACAGG
rnacentral:rRNA from 1 species